AGGGCUAUAGCCAAGCGGUAAGGCAACGGACUUUGACUCCGUCAUUCGGUUGUUCGAAUCAACCUAGCCCUGCCA
rnacentral:tRNA from 1 species